rnacentral:rRNA from 2 species
UUUGGUUAAGUUAGAAAGGGCGCACGGUGGAUGCCUUGACACUAGGAGUCGAUGAAGGACGGGACUAACGCCGAUAUGCUUCGGGGAGCUGUAAGUAAGCUUUGAUCCGAAGAUUUCCGAAUGGGGAAACCCACCAUACGUAAUGGUAUGGUAUCCUUACCUGAAUACAUAGGGUAAGGAAGACAGACCCAGGGAACUGAAACAUCUAAGUACCUGGAGGAAGAGAAAGCAAAUGCGAUUUCCUGAGUAGCGGCGAGCGAAACGGAACAUAGCCCAAACCAAGAGGCUUGCCUCUUGGGGUUGUAGGACAUUCUAUACGGAGUUACAAAGGAACGAGGUAGACGAAGCGACCUGGAAAGGUCCGUCGUAGAGGGUAACAACCCCGUAGUCGAAACUUCGUUCUCUCUUGAAUGUAUCCUGAGUACGGCGGAACACGUGAAAUUCCGUCGGAAUCUGGGAGGACCAUCUCCCAAGGCUAAAUACUCCCUAGUGAUCGAUAGUGAACCAGUACCGUGAGGGAAAGGUGAAAAGCACCCCGGAAGGGGAGUGAAAGAGAUCCUGAAACCGUGUGCCUACAAAUAGUCAGAGCCCGUUAACGGGUGAUGGCGUGCCUUUUGUAGAAUGAACCGGCGAGUUACGAUCCCGUGCGAGGUUAAGCUGAAGAGGCGGAGCCGCAGCGAAAGCGAGUCUGAAUAGGGCGUUUAGUACGUGGUCGUAGACCCGAAACCAGGUGAUCUACCCAUGUCCAGGGUGAAGUUCAGGUAACACUGAAUGGAGGCCCGAACCCACGCACGUUGAAAAGUGCGGGGAUGAGGUGUGGGUAGCGGAGAAAUUCCAAUCGAACCUGGAGAUAGCUGGUUCUCCCCGAAAUAGCUUUAGGGCUAGCCUUAAGUGUAAGAGUCUUGGAGGUAGAGCACUGAUUGGACUAGGGGUCCUCAUCGGAUUACCGAAUUCAGUCAAACUCCGAAUGCCAAUGACUUAUCCUUAGGAGUCAGACUGCGAGUGAUAAGAUCCGUAGUCAAAAGGGAAACAGCCCAGACCGCCAGCUAAGGUCCCAAAGUGUGUAUUAAGUGGAAAAGGAUGUGGAGUUGCUUAGACAACUAGGAUGUUGGCUUAGAAGCAGCCACCAUUUAAAGAGUGCGUAAUAGCUCACUAGUCGAGUGACUCUGCGCCGAAAAUGUACCGGGGCUAAAUACACCACCGAAGCUGCGGAUUGAUACCAAUGGUAUCAGUGGUAGGGGAGCGUUCUAAGGACAGUGAAGUCAGACCGUAAGGACUGGUGGAGUGCUUAGAAGUGAGAAUGCCGGUAUGAGUAGCGAAAGACGGGUGAGAAUCCCGUCCACCGAAUGCCUAAGGUUUCCUGAGGAAGGCUCGUCCGCUCAGGGUUAGUCAGGACCUAAGCCGAGGCCGACAGGCGUAGGCGAUGGACAACAGGUUGAUAUUCCUGUACCACCUCUUUAUCGUUUGAGCAAUGGAGGGACGCAGAAGGAUAGAAGAAGCGUGCGAUUGGUUGUGCACGUCCAAGCAGUUAGGCUGAUAAGUAGGCAAAUCCGCUUAUCGUGAAGGCUGAGCUGUGAUGGGGAAGCUCCUUAUGGAGCGAAGUCUUUGAUUCCCCGCUGCCAAGAAAAGCUUCUAGCGAGAUAAAAGGUGCCUGUACCGCAAACCGACACAGGUAGGCGAGGAGAGAAUCCUAAGGUGUGCGAGAGAACUCUGGUUAAGGAACUCGGCAAAAUGACCCCGUAACUUCGGGAGAAGGGGUGCUUUCUUAACGGAAAGCCGCAGUGAAUAGGCCCAAGCGACUGUUUAGCAAAAACACAGCUCUCUGCGAAGCCGUAAGGCGAAGUAUAGGGGGUGACACCUGCCCGGUGCUGGAAGGUUAAGGAGAGGGGUUAGCGUAAGCGAAGCUCUGAACUGAAGCCCCAGUAAACGGCGGCCGUAACUAUAACGGUCCUAAGGUAGCGAAAUUCCUUGUCGGGUAAGUUCCGACCCGCACGAAAGGUGUAACGAUUUGGGCGCUGUCUCAACCAGAGACUCGGUGAAAUUAUAGUACCUGUGAAGAUGCAGGUUACCCGCGACAGGACGGAAAGACCCCGUGGAGCUUUACUGUAGCCUGAUAUUGAAUUUUGGUACAGUUUGUACAGGAUAGGCGGGAGCCUUUGAAACCGGAGCGCUAGCUUCGGUGGAGGCGCUGGUGGGAUACCGCCCUGACUGUAUUGAAAUUCUAACCUACGGGUCUUAUCGACCCGGGAGACAGUGUCAGGUGGGCAGUUUGACUGGGGCGGUCGCCUCCUAAAGUGUAACGGAGGCGCCCAAAGGUUCCCUCAGAAUGGUUGGAAAUCAUUCGUAGAGUGCAAAGGCAUAAGGGAGCUUGACUGCGAGACCUACAAGUCGAGCAGGGACGAAAGUCGGGCUUAGUGAUCCGGUGGUUCCGCAUGGAAGGGCCAUCGCUCAACGGAUAAAAGCUACCCCGGGGAUAACAGGCUUAUCUCCCCCAAGAGUCCACAUCGACGGGGAGGUUUGGCACCUCGAUGUCGGCUCAUCGCAUCCUGGGGCUGUAGUCGGUCCCAAGGGUUGGGCUGUUCGCCCAUUAAAGCGGUACGCGAGCUGGGUUCAGAACGUCGUGAGACAGUUCGGUCCCUAUCCGUCGUGGGCGUAGGAAAUUUGAGAGGAGCUGUCCUUAGUACGAGAGGACCGGGAUGGACGCACCGCUGGUGUACCAGUUGUUCUGCCAAGGGCAUAGCUGGGUAGCUAUGUGCGGAAGGGAUAAGUGCUGAAAGCAUCUAAGCAUGAAGCCCCCCUCAAGAUGAGAUUUCCCAUAGCGUAAGCUAGUAAGAUCCCUGAAAGAUGAUCAGGUUGAUAGGUUCGAGGUGGAAGCAUGGUGACAUGUGGAGCUGACGAAUACUAAUAGAUCGAGGACUUAACCAUAUAA